rnacentral:rRNA from 1 species
CCUACGGGAGGCUGCAGUGAGGAAUAUUGGUCAAUGGGCGUGAGCCUGAACCAGCCAAGUAGCGUGAAGGAUGACUGCCCUACGGGUUGUAAACUUCUUUUAUACAGGAAUAAAGUGCGUCACGUGUGCUUUUUUGUAGGUACCUCAUGAAUAAGGACCGGCUAAUUCCGUGCCAGCAGCCGCGGUAAUACGGAGGGUCCGAGCGUUAUCCGGAUUUAUUGGGUUUAAAGGGAGCGUAGAUGGGUUGUUAAGCGUGUUGUGAAAGUCCGCGGCUCAACCGUGAAAAUGCAAUGGGAACUGGCUGUCUUGAGUGCAGUUGAGGUAGGCGGAAUUCGUGGUGUAGCGGUGAAAUGCUUAGAUAUCACGAAGAACUCCGAUUGCGAAGGCAGCAUACUAAACUGCCACUGACAUUGAUGCUCGAAGGUGUGGGUAUCGAACAGGAUUAGAUACCCUUGUAGUC